rnacentral:rRNA from 1 species
AGCGAACGCUGGCGGCAGGCCUAACACAUGCAAGUCGAACGAACCCUUCGGGGUUAGUGGCGGACGGGUGAGUAACACGUGGGAACGUGCCGUUAGGUUCGGAAUAACUCAGGGAAACUUGGGCUAAUACGGAAUGUGCCCUUAGGGGGAAAGAUUUAUCGCCUUUAGAGCGGCCCGCGUCUGAUUAGCUAGUUGGUGAGGUAAUGGCUCACCAAGGCUACGAUCAGUAGCUGGUCUGAGAGGAUGACCAGCCACAUUGGGACUGAGACACGGCCCAAACUCCUACGGGAGGCAGCAGUGGGGAAUCUUGCGCAAUGGGCGAAAGCCUGACGCAGCCAUGCCGCGUGGAUGAUGAAGGUCUUAGGAUUGUAAAAUCCUUUCACCGGUGAAGAUAAUGACUGUAGCCGGAGAAGAAGCCCCGGCUAACUUCGUGCCAGCAGCCGCGGUAACAC